rnacentral:rRNA from 1 species
AACGAACGCUGGCGGCAGGCCUAACACAUGCAAGUCGAGCGAACCGCAAGGUUAGCGGCGGACGGGUGAGUAACGCGUGGGAACGUGCCCUUCUCUACGGAAUAGCCUCGGGAAACUGAGAGUAAUACCGUAUACGCCCUUAGGGGGAAAGAUUUAUCGGAGAAGGAUCGGCCCGCGUUGGAUUAGGUAGUUGGUGGGGUAAUGGCCUACCAAGCCGACGAUCCAUAGCUGGUUUGAGAGGAUGAUCAGCCACACUGGGACUGAGACACGGCCCAGACUCCUACGGGAGGCAGCAGUGGGGAAUCUUAGACAAUGGGGGAAACCCUGAUCUAGCCAUGCCGCGUGAGCGAUGAAGGCCUUAGGGUUGUAAAGCUCUUUCGCUGGGGAAGAUAAUGACGGUACCCAGUAAAGAAGCCCCGGCUAACUCCGUGCCAGCCGCCGCAGUAAUAC